GUGGGGAAUCUUGCGCAAUGGGCGAAAGCCUGACGCAGCCAUGCCGCGUGAAUGAUGAAGGUCUUAGGAUUGUAAAAUUCUUUCACCGGGGACGAUAAUGACGGUACCCGGAGAAGAAGCUCCGGCUAACUUCGUGCCAGCAGCCGCGGUAAUACGAAGGGGGCUAGCGUUGCUCGGAAUUACUGGGCGGAAAGGGCGCGUAGGCGGACAGCUUAGUCAGAGGUGAAAGCCCAGGGCUCAACCUUGGAAUUGCCUUUGAUACUGGCUGUCUUGAGUUUGGGAGAGGUGAGUGGAACUCCGAGUGUAGAGGUGAAAUUCGUAGAUAUUCGGAAGAACACCAGUGGCGAAGGCGACUCACUGGCCCAAUACUGACGCUGAGGCGCGAAAGCGUGGGGAGCAAACAGGAUUAGAAACCCCAGUAGCCC
rnacentral:rRNA from 1 species